UACGUAGGGUGCAAGCGUUGUCCGGAAUUAUUGGGCGUAAAGAGCUCGUAGGCGGUUCGUCGCGUCGGCUGUGAAAACCUGAGGCUCAACCUCAGGCCUGCAGUCGAUACGGGCGGACUUGAGUACUGCAGGGGAGACUGGAAUUCCUGGUGUAGCGGUGAAAUGCGCAGAUAUCAGGAGGAACACCGGUGGCGAAGGCGGGUCUCUGGGCAGUAACUGACGCUGAGGAGCGAAAGCCAGGGGAGCGAACGGG
rnacentral:rRNA from 1 species